GGACGAACGCUGGCGGCGUGCUUAACACAUGCAAGUCGAACGCUGAAGGCCCAGCUUGCUGGGUUGGAUGAGUGGCGAACGGGUGAGUAACACGUGAGUAACCUGCCCCCUUCUUUGGGAUAACGGUCGGAAACGGCUGCUAAUACCGGGUAUUCACUGUCCUUCGCAUGGGGGGUGGUGGAAAGGUUUUUUCUGGUGGGGGAUGGGCUCGCGGCCUAUCAGCUUGUUGGUGGGGUGAUGGCUUACCAAGGCUUUGACGGGUAACCGGCCUGAGAGGGUGACCGGUCACAUUGGGACUGAGAUACGGCCCAGACUCCUACGGGAGGCAGCAGUGGGGAAUAUUGCACAAUGGGCGAAAGCCUGAUGCAGCGACGCCGCGUGAGGGAUGACGGCCUUCGGGUUGUAAACCUCUUUCGCUCAUGGUCAAGCCGCAGCUUUGGGUUGUGGUGAGGGUAGUGGGUAAAGAAGCACCGGCUAACUACGU
rnacentral:rRNA from 1 species